CCGGUCUAGCAUGCAUGAGGAGGAAAAAAGUACUGAAGAAUACAGCGAGUUGGCGUGUCGGCACAACAGAGGAUCACGUCCGGUGCAACGCCGAGGCGGGGCGUGUGGGGAACUAAACUAAACUAAAGGAAACAUCGCUUUUGUACUCGCAUAGUAGUGUGGAGUGGCAGAUGAAGCCGGCGGCAUCAUGAGCGCAUCUCGAGGGGCCGCCUCGUGGGCCGGCGCUCCUCCUCGCCGGCGCCUGCGUGGCCGCUGUUUCCGCUAUCGGCAACCGCAACG
rnacentral:lncRNA from 1 species